rnacentral:lncRNA from 1 species
AUUUUGGUGUGACUUUUCAAUAUUUCUACAGCUUAUCAGAUAUCAGAUUAUAGAAUUUAGUCUAUUCAGUUCUCAGAUUAAAGCUUUCAGCUUAUAGUAUUGAUCAGAAGCAAUAUUUCAUAGAUUUUCACGGAUGUCAUAUUAUUUAUAUUGGUUACAUUUUACAGUUACUUAUCUAGAAUGAAGAACAAAAGAUUUUAUGAUGUAUUCAUGUUUGAUUGUAAAAAGUGUUAUCAGAUUUCAAAUUUUCUUAAAGUUUUAAUAGAGCAAAAAUUUUCAGAAAAUAUGCAUAAGUGAGAAAAGUCUACUUAUUUGCAAAUUGUCCACUCAUUGAGCUUUAAACUCAUAUAUUUUUCACAUUUUUCUUUAUCAGACAGAUAGUAGUCGAAUUGGGCAGUUUUGGAGUCUGUUGAACCACCAAAUUAAGCCACGCGUCAUAAGUUGUAUGAAAUCCUUUAUCAGACUAUACAUUAUAUGUUCUUUUGGGAUACAUGUAGCUUAAAACAGAAAAAUUCAUUAUGGGCUCAUUAGAUAGUUGGUAUCUUUAGUAUAUUUGAGGAUUGUUGAUUGUAAAGCAAGUGAAUGUUGAUUUGUGAGUAUUUUAUUUGAAUAUUUUGUAUUUUGAGAGACUGCCUUACCCUAUUUAUAUUAUAGGUAUUGAUUUGAAGAAAAUUGAUUAUUGUUCAGGUGGUUUAUGCUCAUAUUUCAGGGAAAUUCUGUCAAAAUUUUGUUAAAAAUAUUUUUCAGUCAAGCAAGUCAAGUUGCCUCGG